rnacentral:rRNA from 1 species
AAUGGACGGAAGUCUGAACCAGCCAUGCCGCGUAGAGGAUUAAGGCCUCUGGGUUGUAAACUUCUUUUAUUAGGGAAGAAAGCACGGUUUCUACUGUGUCCGACGGUACCUAAUGAAUAAGCACCGGCUAACUCCGUGCCAGCAGCCGCGGUGAUACGGAGGGUGCAAGCGUUAUCCGGAUUUACUGGGUUUAAAGGGUGCGUAGGCGGACAUUUAAGUCAGAGGUGAAAUCUCCGAGCUCAACUCGGAAACUGCCUUUGAUACUAUUUGUCUUGAAUUUCGUUGAGGUUGGCGGAAUAUAUCAUGUAGCGGUGAAAUGCAUAGAUAUGAUAUAGAACACCGAUUGCGAAGGCAGCUAGCUAAACGAACAUUGACGCUGAGGCACGAAAGCGUGGGGAGCGAACAGGAUU